AAACCGAUUGUUGGUGAGUGUGAUGGCAUUGACUUUGUUCAAAACAUAUCAAUCAUUGUGGUUCAACCAAUAGUAGGACGUUGGGGCAGGCCAAUGGGGGUCAAGGUUUAGCUUCAGCAGUUACAAGUAAACAAUGUUGUAAUGAAUUACUGGUCAGUUUAAAUAGAAGUUUAGAGGCCACUAUAUUAUCACGAAGUAGUUAAGGGAUGAUUGUAAUUAAUACAAUCUAAGGUUAAUUUAUGUAAAUUUACUUUUUUUUUUUGGUAUAACUUGAUCUUUAUGGUUUUAAUAAAAAAGAAAACAUCAUCUGUUAGAAGGUAAGGCAAGUAGGUAAUUAUAUCUGCUAAUUUUAGUAAAAAUGUUAAUUUCAAAAACCAUUUGAGUAUUUUUACUUUUUUGUUAAACAUUUGAAAGGCUUUGAAAUCACAGAGAAUUUGGUAUUGUGGCAUCAAACAAUAUAAAUAUGACUAUGUUUCACUAUGUUAUUGUGAAACCAAAAGUGUAAUUUUCAUGUCUAAUAGAGAGAUAAAUAAAUACCUUGCUAAUAUCUUAAUUUUAUUUUUUACAUGCAUUCAUUGUUGGUGAAAAUUAAUUUCUAAUGGCUUUUCUAAUUUAAAAUCUGACAUGUUACUAAUGGUUCGGUAACUGGACAUAGAUAUAAUUAAUUGUAAGUGCUAAAUAAAUACAACAUGUUGUCCUGUGUAAUGUCAAUUUCAGUGGAUACUCAGUUAUUCGAAACUGAGUAUUCCCUUGGGGUUUAAGCCUAGAACUAGUAGGAGGAAACAAAAUGGAAAAUGUUUUUAAUAAAAUAUCUAAAUAACAAUAACAUUUUUCUCUUUGUAAUUUACAUUACAGUGGAUGAAGUGACAGAUGGUCCUGAAGGGAAGACCAAGGUAGGCUAUGUCCACAUAUGACGACAUACAUAUAUGUGCCAUUUUUUCAGUACCCAAACUCAACCGAGCCAUUACUGGAACAAAGGUUAGUUGUAUUUAAUCGUUUAUAUGCCUUCUGUUGCUAGGUCAGUCUUAUGUUUGUAAAAAAAAAAAAAAAAACAAACAAAAAAAACUUUGGCAUUUUUUUCAACAUCAUAAUUUUGAGCUUUUUCAGGCCACAUUCACACAGCAGCAGAAUACGGUAGUCACUCCUGUCUUUGAGUCCUUAAUAUGGUUAUGUUCACAUACAGUACGGUUAUUUACGCAUUCAACCGCAUUCUAUAACCGAACUCACACCCGUACAUUUUCAGGACUCACAACUGCAUUCUCGGAAUAUUUGAGCUGUGUGAACGGAACUGGACAACUAGUUGUCUGUCAUGUCAUACAGUUCGAGUGUUUUGUUUGUGGUUUCGCUUUCGGUAACUUAAGCCCCGGGUAUACUCGCGGCCGGCCGCACGCCCCGUCCGCGUGCAGCCCAAAUGUCGCCUUAGGGGCUGGCUGCAGCGUGUGGAGUUCCACUUAAGGGCGGAAAUACGUCACCUCCACUAGAGGAGCUAGCUACUGUGGCCGCUGGGCAUGCGCACAUCAAUAUUGCGUCAUUUAAUUACUGUAUUUGCAUUAUUGUAAGGGUAGGUUUAGGGUUGGGGUAGGUGUAGACGUUAGUAAAACACAAGUGGAGGUGACGUAUUUCCUGUUCGAGAGUGGAGCUCCACUCGCCCAUGGUCUGGCAGCCAGACCCUUCUCAAAUUUCGAGAUCGUGCGGACAGCAAUACGCACAGUACUGAGCGCAAUCCGCAGUCGUCGAAGAAGAGUGUGUAAAGAGCGAUUCAAAAACAAGACGAGUAAACACUUCCUGUUCUCUUGGUGUAUCUUCUGAACUAUGUUGCAAUGGUGAAUGCACUAUUUUUCUUCUCCGAUCCUGCACAGCGAAUGUCCGGUUGAUGACACGAGGCGUUUCUCAAUACCAAGUUCGCAAAGUUCAGAGUUGCAUCCUUGGUAGUUAGGACUUGGCAAGUUCAACUCAGGAGAACGGACUCCCGUGAACGGGAGAACACAAGUCCGGUGAUUCAGCAAAUGGCACAGCAGCAUACUUGAUAAUGUCACUCAGCUCUCCGGUUAUCUCUGUGUAUAUUUUAGACAACAAUAAAACAAAAUGUGUUAUAAAACACCACUCUGCCUCUUUUCAAUUUAUUUAAAAAACAAACAAACAAACGAACAAAAAAAAUAUAUUAAUAGCCUCACAAAUGUGGUUCAGGAACGCGUUCACUGAUUAUCUUCAAUGUCUGCAUAUAUAGUAUUUAUAACAAAACGAAAUAUUAAACAACCCUGCCUCUUUUUGUUUAUAUUUAAAAAAUAUUAAACAUAUUAAUAUUGUUACAUCCACGCCUUCCCGGACUCCAGUUCCCAGAAUCCUCCUGUUCCGCACACCUGUCUGCACUUCCCUCAUCAGUCUUCCCGCCAUCUCCCCGGAUUCCCAGCACCUGUUGUCCUUGUCAGCACUCCCUUUUGGACUCAUUCCCUGCACUCCUUGUCCGUUAUCUUGUUUGAUAUGUCUGUUCAUGCUGUUUCUUAGUUCCUGGACUGUUCAAUAAAGCCCAUAUAAUUGUGGAUUUCUGUAUUCGCCUCAUCUAUGCAGCACAGCACGUAACAGAAUAACGGACCUAAACAGCUUGGAAGUCUACAAGGAAGAUGGGUUUAUUCUUCAUUUCCGAGGUCCCCGCUUCUCCCGUGCCGGUUCGUCAAUCUCCAUCUUCCUCCGCCUGCCUCUCCAGUGAGCUUUUCCCCGGUGUCCUGCCGGACCCAAAACCUCGCAUGGCCAACAAAAAUUCCUCCGCUGGGCCCAAACGGCUAAAGAGGAAAAGGAAGAAGGCCGCCAAGCAACCUCAGUCUCCUGAGUUUUCUGCCUCCGCGCAGCCCCAGUCUCCUGAGUUUUCUGCCUCCGCGCAGCCCCAGUCUCCUGAGUUUUCUGCCUCCGCGCAGCCCGUUCCAGUGUCAGUGGGUCUUUUGGUUGAGUAUGAGGGGAUGGACUGGACCCCGUUUUCAGACCCCUCGCCAGCCCUCACUGCCAACGAGCCCGCUCCAGCCGCCGCCGAGGCCCGCUCCAGCCGCCGCCGCUGUCCACAGCUCCUGAGAGGUACAGACGAUAUUCAAAAUUAUUUUCUAGUGUUUGAAAAGGAAAAUAAAUGCUUUAACAUACAUUGAAGAAGCCUUUCUUUAUCAGAAAGAUAAAUGUUGAUUAAUAACUUAAAAGAUGUAUAUUGAAGCGGCAGUGGUUUCCAGAAUCCACCCCCCUUCAGUAGGCUACAACGAUUAGAUAUACAAAAAACAAAUUAUAUCAUGUUUAAUCCGGGGAUUUGAACUUGGCUAGAUGUGAACUUUGAAUUGGAACAGUAAUCAACUGAUGACGUUUCACAAGUCCACAAGAACACAAGUACAGACAAGAAUGCAUAUUGAGAAACGGCUACGAUGUCUGGUAAAAGUACAGAAAAAAAUUGUACUGCGCAUGUGUUGGCAUCCGUGGUUUAGUAUGCUUUGAACGCGUCCGGGCGCAGACGGUAAAUAAAAAUGUAAUAAUUUAAUAAAAAAUACUUUUUAUUAAAUAUAAAACUUUUAAUACAUUAAAAAAUAGAUAAAUGUGUUUGUUCAAGUUUCUACUUAAAUAAAUAGAUGUUUUCAAUAAGUAUAUUUCCUUUUUCUACAUGAAAAUGCCAAAUGAAAAUGUUUAUUGAUAUUGAUAAAGUGACCAAUUUUAAGCAGGAAAAACGGUCUUUGCACUUGACCACUUGUCUACUUAGAUGACGUAUUUCCUGUAUGUUACGACCCUCUAUUAAUGCUGUUUAAAGUAUGUAAAAGAGUAUGUAACAUAUUAAUGUUAAAGUUAAAUAUAAAAAUAAAUAAAUAAAUAAAUAAACGGGUUUAGUUACUGAUAUCUUAUGUGAUGAGAUGAAUCAGACAGAGACAGAUUGGAAUUAAAGCUUUUUAGUAUUUUAUCUUGAGGAAAAUACAGCCGAUGGUGUUGAUAUGGCAACUAGUAAAUAUACUAAGUUUCAUGCUACUAACCUUUCAAAUUAAAUCUAAUUUAGUUUAACAUCAUUUUCAACAUCAAACACAAGCUGUGCACGUCAAUAUAAUUAGUCUUUUAUUCUAAUCGCUUUCGCGCAGCAGCAGAGAGCGUUCUGUUCUGAGGCGGAGAGAGAAAAUCUAAAUGGUAAAUGUGAGUUCGUAGAGUUGUUUUAAAAACCAUGUUUGCCAGAACAUAACCACAAAUUUUAUUCUAUUUUGUAUCAACUAUUUUCUAGCCCGACGUUGUUUCGAGUCGUUUAUUCCCGCUCGUGCUCCAUUCAAAUCUUGCGCGCGCUGACAGCAUCCGGUAUUUUCUGAGAGAUUUACAUCAGACGAAGGGAAGGUGCCAGGAAGAUGGAUUUGUCUUGGACCGGAGCAGAGAUGUGCCAGGUACCUGAACAUCGCUGCUAUGGGCUCUGUCCCUGAUGAGCCAGGAGGCUUGUGGGCUUAUAUUUAUGCCAAUCAUUUUAUUAGUCCGACAGCAUCACAUGUGGAGGACAACACCAAGCCGAUCGAUCAUGAGGUGGUCUGUCUAUUCCACGUGUGCGGAGUUCUUGAGCCAUGAGAGAGAGAGAACGAGCCGUCUGAACCAGCCACUGCUGCUUCAAGGCACUGAUCAUGUCGAUAACCAGAAUGGGACUGUAACAGCUCUGUGAUGCCUUGAUAUGUCAGUAUCUUGUCCAGAAAUGUCAAUAGUGAUGCAUUGUACAGAUGGUUCUUCGCUGCAUCUUGGACAGGGCCAAACUCUGACGACACAUGCGACAUGUGAUCCAGUGACUGAACAGAGUCGAACCAGGAGGCAGCAGCUAUUGUCCGUGUUAUAUCUGUUCAGUCAUGUUUCUAUUUGGCUCUUUGGCAUGGCUAACAUACCUUGAAGCAGCAGUAUCGUUCAGACGGCUCGUUCUCUCUGUGAUUCGUGGCUCAAGUUCUCCGCACUCUUGGAUUUCUCAGCAGUCUUGUUGCCCUCUUCGCUGGUGAUGUUUGGGACAUUGUAGCUCCAGUGCACUCACUUGUGAUUGAGUUUGUCCUGAUUGUUUCAGGUGAAUGCAGCGGCACCGGCAUGAGUAAAGAAGUGCAUAUGCUACUUCCAGAUCAACCAGGUAGCCCCGGAUGGAGAACUGUGACACGCUGGCUUCCUACACGCGGGUCUCGCUCUGCUCGGGCCCGAGGCUCAUAUCAUCAUCAUCAUCAUCAUCAUUAUUAACACAAGAUUUUCUUUACAGACUCUCCUCUUGCCAGGACGAUGAUCAAGAGAGCGGUCAGACCAACAGAUUGGCAACAUACCAGACCGGGCAAUCUGGACUUGCCAAUCCCAGGUGAUCCAAGAGGGCUCAACGAGAUGUGCUCCAGGCUGCACCCAAUCUGCCUGAAGAAGAGCAGACCAGGCCGGUUCUGGCGCUCUCAGAGGAGCUGAACAGGGGUGUUCUGUGUCAGAUUGUGACCUGUUUGAGUGGCACAGCUCCACACCAUAGGACAUGUAGGACAGAUAUGCUGUCUGGGCAACCAGACAGUCACUCUGGAGGAAGCGAAGGCGGCAGCUUCUGCUCACGCUCCGUGGGGUAUUUAGCAAAGCCAUAGUACAGAGGGGCUUCUUUCUCCAGUGGAGAGAGAAGCCCUAGAAGAGCAGCACACUGCGUUUGUUUUAUUUAGGUUGCUGUUGCUUUGGUUUUGUUGUGUGUAUAUAGUUGGUUUCACGUUGUUUUAUGCUUUCAUGUAACUUUUAAUCUUGUUAAUUUCUAGUUUUCCCCAUGUUUCCUAAGAGUUUUUAUUGUUAUUUGGUUGUUAAUUAGUAUUUAUUGAUUUUGUGUGUUCUUGUUUGUUCAAUAGUUUACUUUCUUUUAUUGUUCAUGUUUUGUUAUGCUGUGCUUUGUAUAUAGUUCUUUUUUUAAAAUAAUAAAUAAUCUCCCUUAACCCAUUGCUUAAUUUCAUUCUUUUCUUUUUAGUACCAAUACUUUUUUUUAUUCAGUAUAAAUAUUAAAACAUGUGAUCAUGGGAACAAAAGUCAAAUUUUUAGACUCAUAAAUGCUUUGAUCUGAAAUGUUAUGCUUCGACGGGCUCAUGAAGACACAGAACCCCUGCUAUUGUCCACUAAUAUGGACAAAAU